GAUGAACGCUGGCGGCGUGCCUAAUACAUGCAAGUCGAGCGAACAGACGAGGAGCUUGCUCCUCUGACGUUAGCGGCGGACGGGUGAGUAACACGUGGAUAACCUACCUAUAAGACUGGGAUCACUUCGGGAAACCGGAGCUAAUACCGGAUAAUAUAUUGAACCGCAUGGUUCAAUAGUGAAAGACGGUUUUGCUGUCACUUAUAGAUGGAUCCGCGCUGCAUUAGCUAGUUGGUAAGGUAACGGCUUACCAAGGCAACGAUGCGUAGCCGACCUGAGAGGGUGAUCGGCCACACUGGAACUGAGACACGGUCCAGACUCCUACGGGAGGCAGCAGUAGGGAAUCUUCCGCAAUGGGCGAAAGCCUGACGGAGCAACGCCGCGUGAGUGAUGAAGGUCUUCGGAUCGUAAAACUCUGUUAUUAGGGAAGAACAAAUGUGUAAGUAACUAUGCACGUCUUGACGGUACCUAAUCAGAAAGCCACGGCUAACUACGUG
rnacentral:rRNA from 1 species